rnacentral:rRNA from 1 species
GGAUGCGAUCAUACCAGCACUAAUGCACCGGAUCCCAUCAGAACUGCCGCAGUUAAGCGUGCUUGGGCGAGAGUAGUACUAGGAUGGGUGACCUCCCGGGAAGUCCUCGUGUUGCAUCCC